AGACGUAGGGACCGAGCGUUGUCCGGAUUUAUUGGGCGUAAAGAGCUCGUAGGCGGUUGCGUAAGUCGGAUGUGAAAACUCGGGGCUCAACCCCGAGACGCCAUCCGAUACUGCGCUGACUUGAAUCCAGUAGGGGAGUGUGGAAUUCCUGGUGUAGCGGUGAAAUGCGCAGAUAUCAGGAGGAACACCUAUGGCGAAGGCAGCACUCUGGGCUGGUAUUGACGCUGAGGAGCGAAAGCAUGGGUAGCAAACAGGAUUAGAAACCCGGGUAGUCC
rnacentral:rRNA from 1 species